GCCUUGGUGGUCUAGGUAAGAUUUUCCGUCUCCACGUUCUUUGAUUCAAGCUAACUUUCCGAAAGUCGGUUAUGACGUCGGUCUCAUAAUCCGAAGGUCACGAGUUCGAUUCUCGUCCGAGGCA
rnacentral:tRNA from 1 species